GACGAACGCUGGCGGCGUGCUUAACACAUGCAAGUCGAGCGGAAAGGCCCUGCUUUUGUGGGGUGCUCGAGUGGCGAAAGGGUGAGUAACAAGUGAGUAACCUGCCCUUGACUUUGGGGUAACUUCAGGAAACUGGGGCUAAUACCGGAUAGGAGCUCCUGCUGCAUGGUGGGGGGUGGAAAGUUUCGGCGGUUGGGGAUGGACUCGCGGCUUAUCAGCUUGUUGGUGGGGUAGUGGCUUACCAAGGCUUUGACGGGUAGCCGGCCUGAGAGGGUGACCGGCCACAUUGGGACUGAGAUACGGCCCAGACUCCUACGGGAGGCAGCAGUGGGGAAUAUUGCACAAUGGGCGGAAGCCUGAUGCAGCAACGCCGCGUGCGGGAUGACGGCCUUCGGGUUGUAAACCGCUUUCGCCUGUGACGAAGCGUGAGUGACGGUAAUGGGUAAAGAAGCACCGGCUAACUACGUG
rnacentral:rRNA from 1 species